rnacentral:rRNA from 1 species
AGGUAGGCGGAAUGUGUAGUGUAGCGGUGAAAUGCUUAGAUAUUACACAGAACACCGAUUGCGUAGGCAGCUUACUAGCGGUUUACUGACGCUGAUGCACGAAAGCGUGGGGAUCAAACAGGAUUAGAUACCCUGGUAGUCCACGCCGUAAACGAUGAUAACUCGCUGUUGGCGAUACACAGUCAGCGGCUUAGCGAAAGCGUUAAGUUAUCCACCUGGGGAGUACGCUCGCAAGAGUGAAACUCAAAGGAAUUGACGGGGGCCCGCACAAGCGGAGGAACAUGUGGUUUAAUUCGAUGAUACGCGAGGAACCUUACCUGGGCUUAAAUGUGAGACGACCGCCGAAGAAAUUUGGCUUUCCGCAAGGACGACUUACAAGGUGCUGCAUGGUUGUCGUCAGCUCGUGCCGUGAGGUGUCGGGUUAAGUCCCAUAACGAGCGCAACCCUUAUGAUUAGUUGCUAACAGGUCAAGCUGAGGACUCUAGUCAGACUGCCACCGUAAGGUGUGAGGAAGGUGGGGAUGACGUCAAAUCAGCACGGCCCUUAUGUCCAGGGCUACACACGUGUUACAAUGGCCGAUACAGAGGGCAGCUACCCCGCGAGGGGCCGCUAAUCCGGAAAAGUCGGUCUCAGUUCGGAUCGGAGUCUGCAACCCGACUCCGUGAAGCUGGAUUCGCUAGUAAUCGCAUAUCAGCCAUGAUGCGGUGAAUACGUUCCCGGGCCUUGUACACACCGCCCGUCAAACCAUGGGAGCCGAGGGUACCUGAAGUCUGUGACCGCAAGGAGCGGCCUAGGGUAAAAUUGGUGACUAGGGUUAUGUCGUAACAAGGUA